rnacentral:lncRNA from 9 species
GAUCUCCUCUGAGCCCGCCGGCGUCAUAAACCUGAGUUCUCCAACUCUCCAAGUGCUCGCUUGGUUUCUCGCCGGGUCAAAGAGCUGAUCCACUGCAGCCACAGAGCUGCUGGAGCUGGGACACGACAGCCACAGGGCUGUCGCCAGAACUGAUACGCUGCGGCCCAGGGCUUCUGGGCAGCUGCCAUAACACUGCCACGAGCAGAGGAAAGAGAAGUUGGGCCACGAGCAGGAAAAAGUGCAACUACAGACGGCGGAGACGGUAGCGUUGCACUCGACGGAAUCGCAACCAGACAGUGGCUACACCUUUUUGGAAUCCUGGCAGGUGUGUGAAACUGGCAUGGAAGAAGACCAACCGGGACACGCGCCUUCCGACGAAUGAACUGGGAGCCUGGGGUCUGUACAAUGCUCCAUUUUAUAAGCCAGGCUUCCCCUGACAGGUGAAAACUACAAAAAUUAGAACAGGGCCCACACACCCCAUUCCAGGUCUUACUUGACAUGGCCUUUAAGGUCUCAGGGAAGAGGCUUGUAAGUAUUGAGGGAAAUUUUUUCCGACCCUAAAGGAACAAAGUCAUCCUCUAGGAACUAGCCCGUGCCUUUGAGAUGCAAAUGUCUUACCUGACCUUCUGAAAUCCUUCUCUCACCAUCUUUUUGAAAUACAAAUUUCAGGAAAAGGGUCUAAGUUGGAAGUUGAAUUCUCAGGGACAAAGAAGUCCUAUGUCUUGUUCAUAAGCAUUAUUAAAAGGGGGGGUUAGCCAUCUAGACAGGUGACAAUGAUUUAUUCCAUCUGCCAGAAACCCAGUUUGAACCCAGUGUCUCUUGUAACUGACAGGUUUUAUACAGAUGUACCUUAUUCAUGGCUGAAACUUCGAAAUGGGAAAUAUGAGGUCUCUGUUUUGCUUGUUUGUACAUGUCUUUGUGUGUGUUAUGUAUGUAUGGCAUUGCCAAAAUUAAUUCUUAAAAGAGCUCAACUUAAUUGGCUUAAAGGAAAUUAAGCACUUACAUAAAUUCUCAAAAUACAUAAGGUAAAUUUUUGGUUCAUGUGAACUGGAAAAUACUCAGUAUUUGAUAUUCAUUUUUAGAUGUUAAUAUUGAAAUUAAAAUUUGUUUUUUUACUUUUAUUUUUUUGUUUUAGGGCCACACCCGAGGCAUAUGGAAUUUCCCUGGUGUGGGGUCUAAAUCAGCUGUGGCUGCUGGCCUAAACCACAGCCACAGUAACAUGGGAUCUGAGCCUGCAACCUACACCACGGCUCACAGCAGUGCUGGAUCCUUAACCCACUGAGUAAGGCCAGGGAUCGAACCUGCAUCCUCAUGGAUCCUAGUCGGGUUCAUUAACUGCUGAGCCACGAAGGGAACUCCAAGAUUAAAUUUUGUUGAUCUAAUUAAUAUAGACAUGUCUUUAGAGUCAUCGACAUAAGUAUAAUACCUAUUGUACCUAAGUUUGAUAAAAGUCAAAUGAGAUACUGAGACUUCAGUUACAAAACAGAGAAACUGAAGUCAUUUAAGACUAUUAAUCGGUAUGUUCAGUGCCAUCCUGAGAUGUUCAACAAGAAAGCGCAUGCCUUUAGAAACGAUAAAAGACAGUCCAUGGUUGCUUCAGAAUGUAGGAAAAGUGCCGGAGGCCAGCUCCAGCAACCAGGUCUGGCAGCCAGGGUGUAUACAUCCCGAUGGGAGAUGAGAUGGGAGAUGAACGGCGUUGGCUUUUGCAACGGAGACAGCCUCUUUGUCCCUUCUCUCAGGGCGCUGGACUGCUCAAAUUUUAUUAGCGUAAGUGGUUGAUUAUAUAGGCAGUUUUUUUAUUACAGAUUACAUCAUAGUGUUAAAAGUACAUUGGUUAACUAUUAGGCUUUGUUUUUUGAUCACAUGGUACAGUAGCAAUACAUCAUGUUUUAAAAUCUUCAGUUUAACUAAAUUUAGUGAGUACAAUUCAAGGACAAACAGGCACAGGAUAUCAUAUGGGAAAGAGGAGACCCAGUACAAACCAUCUCAUGGCCAGCCAGUUCCCACAAGCUGAAGAAAUUACAGACACAAAAAACUCAUCUUCAGACUAGUGUCUAUCUUUAAAGUGUCCUUGGCAGGGAAACAGUAUGAGAAAAUACAAAUCAACUUAGCUGCUACCGCUAAAAUUUUCUAAAGUCAAGGACAAAACUCACAGCUGGGUUUCUUUUGAUGAAGAAUAAUAUAUGUCUAACUUCUAUAGACCUCAUUAAAAUCCUAACUUUAAAGUUUACUGUAUAACUAGUUAGUAGAUAAACACGAUGUUUUAAUUAAGUUGGAUUUAAAUAGGGGAAAGUCCUUCAGGAUGAAAUUCUUAUAUUAUUUUUGUAAUUUUGUUGAAGCACAAACCAAAUCACCACAGGAAAAUAAGAAUGGUAAAUAAGAAUAAUAAGCAAAUAAUCAGGAAAGACUGAGGAAAAACUGAAUAACAAAACAACAGGAAAGACUAGGUCAUCCGAGAAACAACCCAUGUUCUCCGGUGCAAACAUGGAAAUUGUUUCCCAGGAAAGCCCCAAUUCUUCCCCAUCAACAUCAAAAUGAGAGCCCUGUAACCUGAAGCCUGCCCUCGGCUUGUACUGUUCAGGCAGGCUUCUAUCCUGACCAGAAGCCCACCUUCGGCAUGUACCCUUCAGGUGAGCUCCCUUCCUUGGUUAGGAACCUGCCUUCAGGUUUUUCUGCCGACAGGCAAGGUCCUUUUUUCUGAUUAGGAACCUGCCCUCGGUUUUGCAAGUACAGGCAAGCUCCCUUCCUUGGCUUCUUGUAUCUUCUCGGCUCCCCACAGAAAAAAGUAAGCUAGUUGCAAAACUUGAAUUUGAAUUCGGUCUCUCUGUUAAAACAAGAUUUUUUUGAAAUGCUGCUUUUGAUAACAGAUUAUAUGAAUUUCUUUGCCUUGAAUUUGUAUUUGCUUUUGAAAUCCUUUGUUACGUUGGUUGAAUGAAUAAGUAAUGUGAAACAAUAAUCUAUGAUUCUAUCUGACCAGGUAUUUUUAAACUUUUCCUUGUGUGUUUUUCUUUUCUUUCUUUCUUUCUUUUUUUUUUUUUUUUACAAACUAAGUGUAAAUUACAGGGGA